rnacentral:rRNA from 1 species
AUGGUGGCCGAGGCCGUGGCGCAGGCGUCGUCGGUGUUCGCCGCCUUCGACAAGGACGGCGACGGCAAGGUGUCGGCGGCCGAGCUGCGCGGCUCCAUGACGGCGGCGCUGGGCGAGGAGGUGUCCGAGGAGGAGGCGGCGGCGAUCCUGGCCACGGUGGACGCCGACGGCGACGGGCUGCUGGACCAGGAGGAGUUCUCCCGGAUCGGCCUCGCCGCCGCCGGAGACGACGGUGGGGCGGCCGGAGGCGACGACGAGGAGGUGAGGCGGCGGUGCCUAAGGGAGGCGUUCGCGAUGUACGCGACGGGGGGCGGCGAGGAGCAGGGCGCCAGGAUCACGCCGGCGAGCCUGAGGCGGAUGCUGGGCAAGCUGCUGGGGGCCGAGAAGAUGGGGCUGGAGGAGUGCAGGGCCAUGAUCUGCAGGUUCGACCUCAACGGCGACGGCGUCCUCUCCUUCGACGAGUUCAGGGUCAUGAUGAUGGCCAAUUUGUAA